ACACCUGAUCUGAGAGGGGGACUUUCUGAUCAGCUGAGUUUGUGACUUGGGAUAAUCUAAUACAUGGAAUAUUCAAAAUGCAGCCACAGUCUGAGAAUAUAUAAAUUGCCUAUAAAACAACAAGGUUAGUCAGGUUUCAUAUCCAGCUUGCAGGUAAAGGGUUACAGAUUCUAGGAAGUAUUAAAUGCAAACUUUAAAGGAUUUUAUUUUCAUCUACAGUCACAUGAUACCCUUAUACCCAAUGACACUAACUACAGUGUCUCAUUAAGAGGUCAUGCAAACUCUCAGGCUAAACAAGGCAUUCUUACAUAUUUAACAUUCAAAUGCUGAAACCAAGCUAAGCCAUGGGAGAUUGUAAUCAGAAAAGAGCUACACUUCCUGACCAACACAAAAGCUGCAGGAUCUGGGCAUUUGAGAAAUUAAACAUUUAGAGGAAUCUGAGUGCACAUCCUUAUUGGUACAUCCUGGAGUACACCCUGAUAGGUGUUACCACACAGCCAGAUGUUAAAAUCAUGAUCGGUCAACUCCCAUUGGCUAUUUGAACCAGUUACUGAAGCUGAGCAGACUAGAAAGACUGCUUCCUUUAGCAGGCGUGCUGGAAAAAUGAGUAGAACGGGUACAUGGCAUGCAGCCUAACAGCCCUGCUGACACUGGAAUUCAAAUGAAUCCAAAAGGAAAGAAUGCAAAAGGUAUGGAGGAAGGGAGGGAGAAUCAAAGAAAAAUAUGACAUGAAUGAUCUGAACAGUCUGGAAUUAAACAUAUAGGGCCAAAUGGAGUUGCACCUAUUCAUUGCAAUUGAAAAUGUGAUCUGUCCUGCUGAUGUCAAUGUCUAAAAGUGUGGGGUAAAAAUUACUGUACUCUUACCGAUAUGUGGCCCCUUGCUCAGGUUUUGUGCUGCAAACCCGAGAUAAUGAAAGGUAGUUUGUACUGCCACUAACUGACCUGUACCUGUUCUAUGAAGAAGAAACUACAAGCUCCAUGGAUAAUGGCAAACCUUUCACAAGCACUAAAUACACUAAAAUAACUAAUGCUAAGGAAUAUAUAUAUAUAUAUAUAUAUACACACAUACACACACACACACUCACACUAUAUUAG